AAAGAAAAUGCAAGCGCUCUCGGAGCUGACGAGUUGAGAGUGAAUACGGGCAAGCGGCUCCGUGCGUGCGUGAUGAAUGCCAGACAGAUAGAUUCGUGGAAGAUAUUGGGUAGCUGUGUCUGUGUAUGAUUGUGUGCGCCCGGACAUGGCCAUGUGAGUUGGUUCAUUGUUGGUCUCGCGCCCCUUCUGUUGGGUAAAACUUGGAUCUGGCCCGAGGUGAGUAAUUUAUUCAUUUUGCAACUAUCUAUGGAAAGCCAGAGCUGAGGUCGCGGUGCGCGGUCUUGGGGACUGGGCUGGGAUCUUGCGGUCCCUCGGCCUCGGCGUGACGGCUUUGGGCACCGCCGCGGGGAGGGCUUCGCCAGCUUCUUGCAAACAAAACCGGCCAACCCGGAGCUGGCGGCGUCCCUCUCGCCUCCAUUGCGUGUACUGAGCAGCUGAGAGGCAAAGCCUCAAAGCCUUCCCUCCUGCGGUUGGUCCCCAGCGGGCGUCGCUGGCUUACCCCUGCAGGCCUGGGGACUCUGGAGAGCUCCGCCACCUUCCUCCCCAGCCGGGUCGCCUACCCGAAAUCCUAGAGCUCUCUGGCAUCUUGGUCGUGGCGCGGCGCGGGGACAGCGCGCGCCGAGGGAGCCUUGAUCUCCGAUCUCUAAGAGAUUAAUUCUAUUUAAGCUCCCUCCGCCGCUUGAACUUGUCGAACAAGAGCUUGCCAGCCUCUCCUCGGGGCGUGGGCCCGGCCGGGGGUCAGAGGUCGCGCCUCCAGCUCUCCAGACCGAAUUGGAGGCUGGGGGCUGGCGAGCUGUGGACAGCGCUCCUCCUGGUCGCUAGCCCACCCUUCCCGCAGCUCCCUCCUCACCUGGCCGCAGUGCCUGUUGGAGUCUCCCGUGUGACUGCCUGGCCCUGCAGAUCCAAGGACCGGGUCCCAACUCGAAAGGGCUGUAUGCUCCUGUCUCAGGCCUCAGCACGUGAAAGCAACUUUUCCCGGAUUGCCCGAGCCUGGGAGGCAAGGAACCAAGAGCAGCACACACAGCAACUACCAGGCUUAGGGCCAGGCCACUUGGAACAACCGAGAGGCGGGUGAUCGUGUCCCAUACCACCUCUCCUUUAUGGUCUUUCAAACAAGGGCGAGUAUAGGGUAAGCUGGGGAUUUUUAGAUGACAAGGAGGGAAAAUUAACAUUUUUUUUUUGACAGUCAACUUGGGCUGCCAGCGAGCCCUGCUCGCGGCACAGCUCAAACUCGAACUCAGUGCAAAGAGAGGAGAGGCAUUUCCGGCUAGGGUUUUAGAGACAGGGUGCCAGGCUCGGCUUUUGGUCCUCGGGUCUAACUCUUGCCAGAGAUCCAAUUGAUGCUGCUGUGGCAGACACCACCAUCGCGAUGUGGAGGCAGAAGGGGGGUGCUUGGUCAAGGACAAAGGACUUCAAGUGGAACUAAUUUGCCGUGGGCAAAGAUGUGGGCAAGUGGUGGUGGGAACUAAACACGGACUUGUCUUCAGGGAGAAGUUUAAGGAUUUGUGGACAGGAAGAGAACUAGGGAUGUUUCAGGUGCCCAGUCUGGAAGGUAGAAGGACUUGGCUGCUCUGGAUUCCAAACAACUCUCGACUCCUCCUGCAGUGCCUGCUGACUCAUUUACAGACACCAAAACUUGUGAAAAAUACUCCCAAACUCACACAGUUGUCCCCCAAACAAAAUUGGAAUGUUCUUUCUCCAGCCACUAACUAACUCUUAAUCGAACUAGGUGCCAAGAAGCCCACUAAACAGACACGGGUGCACACACCCCACCCCCACUCCACACCGAGAGAACGAUCCAAUUCUGGCAAAAGCCACAAGGGGCUACCCACCCCGCAGCAUAUGCGUUCUGUAUUCUGGGCGCCCGACUGUAAUUAUCCGCGCGUUUUGCAUAAUUCACAAUACAGUUCUGAAAUCAU